rnacentral:lncRNA from 1 species
CAUUACUAAGUUCUCAUCCACACCUAUCAUCUCAUUAUAGGGUUUCACAUCACAUAUAUAAACCUCAAGCAUGCUAGAUAUAAGCACUAAGCCAAAUACAUUACUCUUUCAAGAAGCAUGCAAUAUAUAUAUAGAACCAACCAUCAACUAUCACCCUAUGAUGCAAGGUAUCGAUAUACAAUAUGCUACAUGUAAAUUGAUAAGUACUAAGAUAUAGGAAGAAGCUCAGUUGCUUCAGAAUGGACACCCCCCACCUUUUAUCGCGUUCCGAUUGCUCUUCGCCACUCGCAAUCGGCCUCCCGCGGCGCACGCCGCUCGGCUUGACCCAAUCCGCGCGCGACCACCAAACGACCUCCAAUCCGCGAUCCGGAAAUUAAAGGUCUUCGGUUUCUUGUUACGAUGCUUCAAAUCUGUUUCCAGGAUUUUACGACGUCGCCUCGGCCCUCCAGGCGGAAACGAAGCCUAAACGUCCGUUUCUUUAAUAACUUUGUAACGGCUCGUCGGAUCGCCGAAUCGUCUUCGCCAACGUGUUUCGUUACCUAUCAAUUAGGUUUAUAUAUAACCAAUUUAGAUUAAACCCAUCUAUUUGCAAAAAUAGCAUUUUGAGCUCUAUGUUGCAAUUAGUGCAAAGCACACUAAUAGAACCAUAGAUUCAUGCUAGAAUCAUCUUAGUAACCUCCUAAGGUUUGCCCAAAAUCAUUUCUAGAGCAUAUAAUUGAAGCCCUAACAUUCUACCAUUAAAGGGUUAGAGCUUUA